rnacentral:misc_RNA from 1 species
CCGAGUUAGGGUUUGCCCCCGCGGCGCCCGACCUCCGACCCUGUGCCUUGAGAAAAGUACCCUAUAUACCUUAUAGACGUUGCUUCGGCGGCCUCACCGCCGCCGGACGCGCGCAAACCAAAACUCUCCUGUUUCACCAUGUCUUGUCUGAGAAAAACACAAAUAAGUUA